rnacentral:rRNA from 1 species
ACGGGGGGGGCAAGCGUUGUCCGGAAUUAUUGGGCGUAAAGGGCGCGUAGGCGGGACAGCAAGUCUGGGGUGCAAUCUUACGGCUUAACUGUAAGCUUGCAUUUGAAACUAUUCAGCUUGAGUUCGGGAGAGGAAAGUGGAAUUCCUGGUGUAGAGGUGAAAUGCGUAGAUAUCAGGAGGAACACCGGUGGCGAAGGCGACUUUCUGGUCCUAUACUGACGCUGAGACGCGAGAGUGUGGGUAGCAAACAG